rnacentral:rRNA from 1 species
GUGGGGAAUAUUGGACAAUGGGCGAAAGCCUGAUCCAGCCAUGCCGCGUGUGUGAAGAAGGUCUUCGGAUUGUAAAGCACUUUAAGUUGGGAGGAAGGGCAGUAAGUUAAUACCUUGCUGUUUUGACGUUACCGACAGAAUAAGCACCGGCUAACUUCGUGCCAGCAGCCGCGGUAAUACGAAGGGUGCAAGCGUUAAUCGGAAUUACUGGGCGUAAAGCGCGCGUAGGUGGUUUUGUAAGUUGGAGGUGAAAUCCCCGGGCUCAACCUGGGAACUGCCUCCAAAACUGCAUGACUAGAGUACGGUAGAGGGUAGUGGAAUUUCCUGUGUAGCGGUGAAAUGCGUAGAUAUAGGAAGGAACACCAGUGGCGAAGGCGACUACCUGGACUGAUACUGACACUGAGGUGCGAAAGCGUGGGGAGCAAACAGGAUUAGAUACCCGGGUAGUC